rnacentral:rRNA from 1 species
AACGAACGCUGGCGGCAUGCCUAACACAUGCAAGUCGAACGAGACCUUCGGGUCUAGUGGCGCACGGGUGCGUAACGCGUGGGGACCUGCCCUUAGGUUCGGAAUAACUCCCCGAAAGGGGUGCUAAUACCGGAUAAUGUCUUCGGACCAAAGAUUUAUCGCCUUUGGAUGGGCCCGCGUUGGAUUAGCUAGUUGGUAGGGUAAAAGCCUCCCAAGGCGACGAUCCAUAGCUGGUCUGAGAGGAUGAUCAGCCACACUGGGACUGAGACACGGCCCAGACUCCUACGGGAGGCAGCAGUGGGGAAUAUUGGACAAUGGGCGAAAGCCUGAUCCAGCAAUGCCGCGUGAGUGAUGAAGGCCUUAGGGUUGUAAAGCUCUUUUACCCGGGAUGAUAAUGACAGUACCGGGAGAAUAAGCUCCGGCUAACUCCGUG